UUCUUCUUUCCAUUCUUUUCCUUUCAUCGUCAAUUGUAGCACGGUUAAGCAAUUCAGCUAAUAAACACUACUUCUGCUUGAUGCGUACAGGUGCCGAGGUAUUGUUUAUUGGCUGAGUGCUAUACCUCCAGUAUUCAUCG